GUUAUCGGCACAUAUGAUAAGUUUAUGUCGUUGCGGUGAAUCCUACCUAAGCGGUAGGGCUAAUAAGCUGAGCCCUCGUAGUGAAGACAGCGGACCACGGUUAGCUUACCAACGGUUCACCGGGAGGCACCCGGCACUGCAACAACCAAACAAUGCUUUUCAGUCUGCGAAG
rnacentral:sRNA from 1 species